CACGAAACCGAGAAGAUUCACUAUCGGAUUCGUCGCUGCGUGUGUAAAUGGCAAUAUGAAUUCGGUUUUGUCAUAAAUCCGAAAACUUUCGCUCUAGUGUAAACGGCGUCUUAAUUGUCUUGUUAGUGUCGAAAUUUCUGUAUUAAACCACGAUUUGCGAUCCUGCAACGCUUAAUGAUACCCAUCCUUGCAAAAGUGCGUCUGAAUUAAAAGUCUGAUCAUUUUAUCCAAAAUUUAUUCCAUUUUUAUAGCACCUCCCGUAAUAGCCAGACAUUUAUGGAUCUUUGCCCAUAUCCUGAGUGGCCAUAUUCUGGGGGAUGUCCUCCUUCAUGUCCAUGGUAACACCGUGGCAAGGAACUUUGCCACCAUAUUCGACGGUUCAACCUCUUGGGUAGGUACAACCUUGGGUAGGAGAGACUGUUUGAUUGCUCCUACUAACUGCAGAGAUGGUUUAUCUAUUGGCUUCAAGAUCAAGUUAACUGGGCUGACUAACUCCCCGGAACAGCGAUAUAUUGUUGAUACUGGUGUUCUCAGCAUGGAUACUCGUGGGAUUGCUAUAUAUAUGCAACAUGGUAAAUUGUUUUGCGUGGUGAUGACCAUGACAGGAGAGUGGAAGGUUUGUGUAAAAUUUCUUAUCUUUUCCUCUUUCUAUACGGCGGUAGUGCUCCGCCUAGACACCAGUGUGGACCUAAUGCUUG